rnacentral:rRNA from 1 species
AUUGAACGCUGGCGGCAUGCCUUACACAUGCAAGUCGAACGGUAACAGGUCUUCGGAUGCUGACGAGUGGCGAACGGGUGAGUAAUACAUCGGAACGUGCCUAGUAGUGGGGGAUAACUACUCGAAAGAGUGGCUAAUACCGCAUGAGAUCUACGGAUGAAAGCAGGGGAUCGCAAGACCUUGGGCCACUAGAGAGGCCGAUGGCAGAUGAGGUAGUUGGUGGGAUAAAAGCUUACCAAGCAGACGAUCGGUAGCUGGUCUGAGAGGACGAUCAGCCACACUGGGACUGAGACACGGCCCAGACUCCUACGGGAGGCAGCAGUGGGGAAUUUUGGACAAUGGGCGAAAGCCUGAUCCAGCAAUGCCGCGUGCAGGAUGAAGGCCUUCGGGUUGUAAACUGCUUUUGUACGGAACGAAAAGCCCUGGGUUAAUACCCUGGGGUCAUGACGGUACCGUAAGAAUAAGCACCGGCUAACUACGUGCCAGCCGCCGCAGUAACAC